rnacentral:rRNA from 1 species
AGAUUGAACGCUGGCGGCAUGCUUUACACAUGCAAGUCGAACGGUAACAGGCCGCAAGGUGCUGACGAGUGGCGAACGGGUGAGUAAUGCAUCGGAACGUGCCCAGUCGUGGGGGAUAACGCAGCGAAAGCUGUGCUAAUACCGCAUACGAUCUAUGGAUGAAAGCGGGGGACCGAAAGGCCUCGCGCGAUUGGAGCGGCCGAUGUCAGAUUAGCUAGUUGGUGGGUAAAGGCCCACCAAGGCGACGAUCUGUAGCUGGUCUGAGAGGACGACCAGCCACACUGGAACUGAGACACGGUCCACGACUCCUACGGGAGGCAGCAGGUGGGGAAUUUUGGACAAUGGGACGCGAAAGCCUGAUCCAGCAAUGCCGCGUAGCGAGGAAAGAAGGCCGUCGGUUAGUAACUAGUCUUUAGUUACGGAAGAAACGGUACGUGGUUAAGUUACCGUCGGUCGUAA